GACGAACGCUGGCGGCGUGCCUAAUACAUGCAAGUUGAGCGCUGAAGGUUGGUACUUGUACCAACUGGAUGAGCAGCGAACGGGUGAGUAACGCGUGGGGAAUCUGCCUUUGAGCAGGGGACAACAUUUGGAAACGAAUGCUAAUACCGCAUAAAAACUUUAAACACAAGUUUUAAGUUUGAAAGAUGCAAUUGCAUCACUCAAAGAUGAUCCCGCGUUGUAUUAGCUAGUUGGUGAGGUAAAGGCUCACCAAGGCGAUGAUACAUAGCCGACCUGAGAGGGUGAUCGGCCACAUUGGGACUGAGACACGGCCCAAACUCCUACGGGAGGCAGCAGUAGGGAAUCUUCGGCAAUGGACGAAAGUCUGACCGAGCAACGCCGCGUGAGUGAAGAAGGUUUUCGGAUCGUAAAACUCUGUUGGUAGAGAAGAACGUUGGUGAGAGUGGAAAGCUCAUCAAGUGACGGUAACUACCCAGAAAGGGACGGCUAACUACGUG
rnacentral:rRNA from 1 species